rnacentral:lncRNA from 1 species
UUCCUCUUUCAAGCUGUUUCUGUCAGAGAAACAAGCAAAGGAACUAAUACAGGAGUAUUAGUUUAACUCAGGAGUCAGACAGACUUAUUAGAUGGCGUUGUUUCCUCUUGGCAUAGAAUGAAGCUAUUUGGGAGUAGAGAGUUGUUGGGGUGCAGUGCAUCAAGGUUGUCUUUGUAUUCGUCAAUUUUUAAUUCUGUACAGAGAGAGAGACGCGUUCUCACGACCGGCCAGGAAGAACACCACAGACCAGAAUCUUCUGCGGCAAAGCUUUAUUUCUUACAUCUUCAGGAGCCAGGGUGCAGGAAGCAAGAGAGCAAGAAGCAAGAGCGAGAGCAAGAAGCAAGAGAGAGAGAAAACGAAACCCCGUCCCUCUUAAGGAGCAUUCUCCUUCGCCUCGGACGUGUCACUCCCUGAUUGGCUGCAGCCCAUCGGCCGAGUUGACGUCACGGGGAAGGCAGAGCACAAGUAGUCAUAAGAUACCCUUGGCACAUGCGCAGAUUAUUUGUUUACCACUUAGAACACAGCUGUCAGCGCCAUCUUGUAACGGCGAAUGUGGGCGCGGCUCCCAACAUCUCCCCCUAUCCUUUUAAUAAGAGCAAAUAGGCCACCCAUAUUAAUGAGAGUGGAGAUAGAGGUCAAAUCCCCAGUGUGUAGGUAAAGGAGCCAUGUACAGGAUUAGCUCUUAGGCUCACAGGCUUUUACCCAGAGCAACCCUGACCUGCUCCCGUGUCGUUUUGCCUGGGGGAAGGGAACUAGGACACUGAACCUUCAUGAAAGAUGACAUGUCUCCCUAGAAUAGGCUCAUAUAUGCCGCAGAGCCUUUCCAUUGCAGUGCUUAGCCUUGCAACUCUCUCGGGCUGCUGAAGCACACUCACUCUAUCCCGUGCAAUGAGUCUAGCCUCAUGGGAUAUAAGAGCUGAGUGGCCAGCGACCUAUUGCCUAAGCAUAGAUAUAUCAGGGGAAGCUCCAUGUUCUAGUCCUGCAAGCGCCUGGGCAAUAACCACCUUGUCUCUCCUAGUUUAGGCCUUAAGCUUACAGACCAAUCAAAGAAGCAACACUAAUCCACAGCAAAGUGUAUCUCCAAAUAAUAUUAAUCCCACCCAUUUUUUAAAGAAAGAAAAUGCUGAGGAGAUCCAAUUGGGUAAUCCUUUGGUCAGCGACAGGUCCAAGCGCGUGGAGUUGACCUGAAGUCUCAAUUCCCGAAGGAUCUGUUCAAAUUCAGCCAUCCAAUUCUGUAACAUAUACUGAAAAAGACUUUUUGACAAUUUAGCUGCCCUAGUAAAUUUAACAUACUGAAUGGAAAUAA